rnacentral:lncRNA from 1 species
UGCGCCAGCUCCUGCAAGUGCAAAGAGUGCAAAUGCACCUCCUGCAAGAAGAGCUGCUGUUCCUGCUGCCCCGUGGGCUGUGCCAAGUGUGCCCAGGGCUGCGUCUGCAAAGGGGCAUCGGAGAAGUGCAGCUGCUGUGCCUGAUGUGGGAGCAGCUCUUCUCCCAGAUGUAAAUAGAACAACCUGCACAACCUGGAUUUUUAAAAAAAUACAACACUGAGCCAUUUGCUGCAUUUCUUUUCAUACUAAAUAUGUGACUGACAAUAAAAACAAUUUUGACUUUAAU